rnacentral:rRNA from 1 species
UUUAACAAAAACAUGUCUGUAUGAUUGUUAUAUAGAGUCUGGCCUGCCCACUGAUUUAUUAAAGGGCCGCGGUAUCUUGACCGUGCGAAGGUAGCAUAAUCAUUAGUCUUUUAAUUGAAGGCUUGUAUGAAUGGUUGGACAAAAAGUUAACUGUCUCAAUUAUAAAAAUUGAAUUUAACUUUUAAGUGAAAAGGCUUAAAUAUACUGAGGGGACGAUAAGACCCUAUAAAGCUUUACAAUAAAUUAAUUAAAUUAUAAAUUAUUAGUUUAACUUAAUUUAAUUAGUAUUUGUUUCGUUGGGGCGACGAGAAUAUAAU